rnacentral:rRNA from 1 species
GAUGAACGCUGGCGGCGUGCCUAAUACAUGCAAGUCGAGCGAACGGACGAGAAGCUUGCUUCUCUGAUGUUAGCGGCGGACGGGUGAGUAACACGUGGAUAACCUACCUAUAAGCCUGGGAUAACUUCGGGAAACCGGAGCUAAUACCGGAUAAUAUUUUGAACCGCAUGGUUCAAAAUUGAAAGACGGUCUUGCUUUCACUUAAAGAUGUAUCCGCGCUGCAUUAGCUAGUUGGUAAGGUAACGGCUUACCAAGCCAACGAUGCAUAGCCGACCUGAGAGGGUGAUCGGCCACACGGGACCGGAGACAGGGUCCAGACUCCUACGGGAGGCAGCAGUAGGGAAUCUUGCGAAAUGGGCGAAAGCCUGACGGAGCAACGCCGCGUGAGUGAUGAAGUUCUCCGGAUCGUAAAACUCUGUUAUAAGGGAAGAACAUAUGUGUAAGUAACAGUGCACAUCUUGACGGUACCUAAUCAGAAAGCCACGGCUAACUACGUG